rnacentral:lncRNA from 1 species
UUUUAAGGGAAGAAAAUGUUGACAGAUGCAACCUUAGCUGAUUGUUCAAAAAAAGUUUUUCCUUUGGUUAUAAUUGUAAAUACAAAAGAAGAAAGCUUGGCCUUUGUCCUCUAUGACCUCAUGACUUAGUGGGGAAAACAGCCACACAAACAAUGACCACAGUGUCCCAAGGUGUGGGUGGGGUUUUUAGAGGGUCAUGGAGUGACU